rnacentral:rRNA from 1 species
UACGUAGGGCGCAAGCGUUAUCCGGAAUUAUUGGGCGUAAAGAGCUCGUAGGCGGUUUGUCGCGUCUGCCGUGAAAGUCCGGGGCUCAACUCCGGAUCUGCGGUGGGUACGGGCAGACUAGAGUGAUGUAGGGGAGACUGGAAUUCCUGGUGUAGCGGUGAAAUGCGCAGAUAUCAGGAGGAACACCGAUGGCGAAGGCAGGUCUCUGGGCCACUACUGACGCUGAUGCGCGAAAGCCAGGGGAGCG